rnacentral:rRNA from 1 species
UACGGAGGGUGCGAGCGUUAUCCGGACUUAUUGGGUUUAAAGGGUGCGUAGGCGGACGCUUAAGUCAGCGGUAAAAUUGCGGGGCUCAACCUCGUCGAGCCGUUGAAACUGGGUGCCUUGAGUGGGCGAGAAGUACGCGGAAUGCGUGGUGUAGCGGUGAAAUGCAUAGAUAUCACGCAGAACUCCGAUUGCGAAGGCAGCGUACCGGCGCCCAACUGACGCUGAAGCACGAAGGCGUGGGUAUCGAACAGG